GACGUAGGAGGCGAGCGUUGUCCGGAUUCACUGGGCGUAAAGGGUGCGCAGGUGGUCGGGUAAGGCUGACGUGAAAUCCCGCAGCUUAACUGCGGAAUGGCAUUGGAUACUAUUCGGCUAGAGGGUUGGAGGGGGGACUGGAAUUCUCGGUGUAGCAGUGAAAUGCGUAGAUAUCGAGAGGAACACCAGUGGCGAAGGCGAGUCCCUGGACAACUCCUGACGCUGAGGCACGAAAGCUAGGGGAGCAAACAGG
rnacentral:rRNA from 1 species